GAUGAAGAACGUAGCGAAAUGCGAUACGUAAUGUGAAUUGCAGAAUUCAGUGAAUCAUCGAAUCUUUGAACGCACAUUGCGCCCGCCAGUAUUCUGGCGGGCAUGCCUGUCUGAGCGUCAUUUCAACCCUCAGCCCCCGCUCGCGGGGCGCUGGCGUUGGGGAUCGGCCGUCCUCGCGGCGGCCGGCCCCGAAACACAGUGGCGGUCUCUCGCGGACUCCCCUGCGUAUUAGCACUACCUCGCAGAAGGGACGAGCGGGCUGACCACGCCGUAAAACCCCCCACUUCUCCAGGUUGACCUCAGAUCAGGUAGGAAUACCCGCUGAACUUAAGCAUAUCAAUAAGCGGAGGA
rnacentral:misc_RNA from 1 species